rnacentral:lncRNA from 1 species
AGGCUCAAGAAAGGAUAUUUACUAUAGCCAAGAUGGAGAAGCUCUUCACAUAUAGAAUAUUUACAUGAUGGCAAAAGGAAGACUGUCAGGAGCAAUUGUAGGAGAAUAUGGGGCAAGUCUAUUCACACCAGAAGCAAAAGUAAUAAAACCCUUAGACCACUGGAGA